GGUAUCAGUUGAUUUUCUAUUAUAGUCUCAGCAUAUACAUUGAGAAACUAAGCUAUGUUAAUCUCAGUGCUCAGCUAUGGGGACUGUUGAAUAAUAUGGGACAAUAAAUAUACCUAUAAUUGAGUCUGAAUACCUUAUGAAACAAUAACCCAUAAGUUAAGGAAAGCCCUUAUCUCAGUAGUGUAAAUGUUAAUAAACAACUCUAAAAUUAUCCUCUAUAUUUUUGUGUCCUUCAUCAGUGUUAAAGUUCAUAAAUCAUUUCUCUAUAUGAGUUACUGAUGAUUUUAAAAUGAAAAAUGUUGUCCCUCUGAAAUCUUGCCAAAAAACUAUAGAUAUGGAGUCAUUCUUUGAAUCAUUAUUUUUAGACUUAUUAAUGCUUUUCCUUAUUAUGAAUCACUAUUAUUCAUCCUACUAACUCCAGUCACAAUACCAGAGGAGAGUUGUCUCCAGAUAAGCUUUCAACCUCAUUUCUUUUCUUUUUGCCUGAGCUUUAGGUUCACAAGGGAUAGUCUCAUCUUUGGGGGUUAUUCUCUUUUAUGCUGCGUUCCUUUUGCACUUUUUGAUUCCAUAUUUAUCCCUAAUCCCAUUGGGUGCUCCUAGAAAUUACUUAAUUUUUUUCCUGUUUAUAUUACUGUGUUUGGUACUGGGUUUCUCCAAAUGCUAUGAUACAGAGCAUAUCAAAUCUAAGCAACAUGUCUCGCCUGAAGAGAACUUAGUUUCAAGUUUUUGUUUUGUUUUUUUGUGUUUCAGAAGAUGCUCAGUUCAGAAUAUUUGAGGGAGAUGGGGACACAUAUUUAUAAUUUAUCAAGCAAGAACAAGUCAUAUCUCUUAAUUAAAAAAAAACUAAUGGUUUUAGAUCUAUGAUAUAAGGACUUCUGCAUACAGGUUAACAAAGAGACAUGCUGUAUAGAGUGUCUGAUUACACAAUGACAGUUUAUUUAAUUCUCUCUUGUACAGUAACUUAGGUGAUUCCCUAAUACUCUAAUAAAAAAGUAUUCCACUGUAUUUGGAGACAUGAUCACUUCACUUGUUAAUUAUCC
rnacentral:lncRNA from 1 species